rnacentral:rRNA from 1 species
UACGGGGGAGCAAGCGUUGUUCGGAUUACUGGCGUAAAGGGCGCGUAGGCGGCACCGCAAGUCGACUGUGAAAUCUCCGGGCUUAACUCGGAAAGGUCAGCCGAUACUGCGGGCUAGAGUGCAGAAGGGCAACUGGAAUUCUCGGUGUAGCGGUGAAAUGCGUAGAUAUCGAGAGGAACACCUGCGCGAAGGCGGGUGCUGGGCUGACACUGACGCUGAUGCGCGAAAGCUAGGGGGGAGCGAACGG